rnacentral:rRNA from 1 species
GAUGAACGCUGACAGAAUGCUUAACACAUGCAAGUCUACUUGAAUUUGGGUUUUUUAACUUAGAUUUGGGUGGCGGACGGGUGAGUAACGCGUAAAGAACUUGCCUCACAGCUAGGGACAACAUUUGGAAACGAAUGCUAAUACCUGAUAUUAUGAUUAUAAGGCAUCUUAGAAUUAUGAAAGCUAUAUGCGCUGUGAGAGAGCUUUGCGUCCCAUUAGCUAGUUGGAGAGGUAACGGCUCACCAAGGCGAUGAUGGGUAGCCGGCCUGAGAGGGUGAACGGCCACAAGGGGACUGAGACACGGCCCUUACUCCUACGGGAGGCAGCAGUGGGGAAUAUUGGACAAUGGACCAAGAGUCUGAUCCAGCAAUUCUGUGUGCACGAUGACGUUUCUCGGAAUGUAAAGUGCUUUCAGUUGGGAAGAAAAAAAUGACGGUACCAACAGAAGAAGUGACGGCUAAAUACGUG